rnacentral:rRNA from 1 species
UGCCAGCCGCCGCGGUAAUACGGAGGGUGCAAGCGUUGUUCGGAAUUACUGGGCGUAAAGCGCGCGUAGGCGGCUAUUUAAGUCAGAUGUGAAAGUCCACGGCUCAACCGUGGAAGUGCAUUUGAAACUGGAUGGCUUGAGUACUGGAGGGGGUGGUGGAAUUCCCGGUGUAGAGGUGAAAUUCGUAGAUAUCGGGAGGAAUACCGGUGGCGAAGGCGACCACCUGGUCGGAAACUGACGCUGAGGUGCGAUAGCGUGGGUAGCGAACGGGAUUAGAUA